rnacentral:rRNA from 1 species
GACAGAGGCCUCAAGCGUUAGGCGGAAUCACUGGGCUUAAAGCGUGUGUAGGCGGACUUCUAAGUGCCUUGUGAAAUCCCACGGCUCAACCGUGGAACUGCUGGGCAUACUGGGAGUCUUGGGCCAUUCAGGGGCAACUGGAACAAGCGGUGGAGCGGUGAAAUGCGUAGAUAUCGGGAGGAACACCGGUGGCGAAGGCGGCAUCCUGGACCGGUAUUGACGCUGAGGCGCGAAAGCCAGGGGAGCAAACGGG